CGAGUGAUGCUACCAAUGUGGACCUGUGCUGCAUUGCUUUCAGUUUCAGAUAAAGUACAUCUGUUUUAGGUUAAAGAGGCAGUUUGCUUCUCAUUCAAGGUACAGUAAUCCAGCUCCAUUCACUAUUGACAAAUUUGACCCAGUGUGGACAGGAACAGCAUCCUACAGUUGUUUUGCCAUUAACAAGACAGGAUCCGAUUCUUAAAACUGAACUAUACAGCAAUGCAUAUGAAGCCAGCUAACAAGGUAAGGGGUGCAAGAACACAUGCAUACAAUAUACCAUUAUAGUCAUCCUCCAAACCUGUACUUAUUCAGGUCUUCUAGCUUUCUACAAAGUGUCUUUGAAUAUUUGUUUCCCCAAUUAGUGUUGAGAUUUAACCUGGUCUUAAAAGUUUCUUUAUUUGAACCUAUUAGUCUCAGUCUUUAGAGGAACCUUAAA